AGCGAACGCUAGCGGGAUGCCUCAAACAUGCAAGUCGUACGCGAAAGGGACUUCGGUCCUGAGUAGAGUGGCGCACGGGUGCGUAACACGUAGCUAACGUACCCUAUCGCUGGGGAUGACUCCGGGAAACCGGAGCUAAUACCGAAUGAUCUGUCGGAGUCUGCGGACUCUGCCGGUAAAGCCGUAAGGCGCGAUAGGAUCGGGUUGCGGCAGAUUAGUUUGUUGGUGGGGUAAUGGCCUACCAAGACUACGAUCUGUAGCUGGUCUGAGAGGAUGAUCAGCCACACUGGAACUGGAACACGGUCCAGACUCCCACGGGAGGCAGCAGUUGGGAAUAUUGGACAAUGGGAGAAAUCCUGAUCCAGCAAUCCCGCGUGAGUGAUGAAGGCCUUC
rnacentral:rRNA from 1 species